UUGAAAGAAGCCAAAAAGAGGUAAGUCACUGUUAAUGACUGAAUUGAGUUUUAACUCCUUUUAAG
rnacentral:tRNA from 1 species